CAAAAUGUUUAAUAUUAUUAUUUUGUCACCUUAGGUCGAUCGGUAUCUCACAUUCUUAAUUUAUUAAGGAUUUUAUUUCCUAAGUUUUUUCUAGGUCACACCCAUUACUUUUCCUGGGCCAUUAGCUCAGGUGGUUAGAGCGCACCCCUGAUAAGGGUGAGGUCCCUGGUUCAAGUCCAGGAUGGCCCAUAUCUCUAUGUUAGGGGUAUAGCUCAGUUGGUAGAGCGCCUGCUUUGCAAGCAGGAUGUCAGCGGUUCGAGUCCGCUUACCUCCCACUGAUUACCACCUCUUACAUAAUUAUUAUUAAGGAAAUGUGUUGAGUAGUGAUCCAAUUCUGAACGAAUCUAGCUUCCUAAUGAAUUCAUUAAGAUGCUGGACUCAUUGAAUUAUUUUCAUUGUUUUCAGAGAACCUUGACAACUGCAUAGAUUAUUUUUAAAGACAAUAAGCAUCUUUAUGAUGCAGAUUUAUUAUUUGUGCGAAUGCAUUAAUAACAAUUCUAUUAAGCUGAUGCUUCAUUAUGAAGUUAUUGGUCAAGCUACAAAGGGCUCACGGAGGAUACCUAGGCACACAGAGGCGAUGAAGGACGUGGUUACCUGCGAUAAGUCUCGGGGAGUUGGAAGCACACUUUGACCNGGGA
rnacentral:misc_RNA from 1 species